ACAAUGUGCCAGAGUGGUUAAUGGGUUAGACUUGAAAUCUAAUGUCUUCGGACGCACAGGUUCGAUCCCUGUAUGAA